UAGCUUGUCCACUGAACUCAGGAAGCCAUAUCUGAGUGUUUUCACCAUGACUUUGGCUCCACUACUCCUUGUCUUCCUUUAUCACUUAGCAGGGUCAUGGGGACAGUUUAGGCUGACUCAGCCAACCUCUGUUUCAGGGUCUCUAGGAAGCACAGUCACCAUCUCCUGCCUGGGCAGCAGUGGUAACAUUGGAGACAGCUAUGUGAACUGGUACCAGCAGCACGAGGGAAGAUCCCCCACCAAUGUGAUCUAUGCAGAUGAUCAGCGACCAUCCGGAAUUUCAGAUCGGUUCUCUGGCUCCACUGACAGCUCCUCCAACUCAGCCUCUCUGACCAUCAGUAACGUGCAGGCUGAAGAUGAGGCCGACUACUAUUGUCAAUCCUAUGAUAGUGACUAUAGACACAGUGCUGUGAACCAUGGAGGAAGUGAGACAAAAACUCCCCAAAGCACCAGCUGUGAAAUCAUUUGUUAA